CAGUCGCCACGGGAAUACGGAGGGUGCAAGCGUUAAUCGGAAUUACUGGGCGUAAAGCGCACGCAGGCGGUUUGUUAAGUCAGAUGUGAAAUCCCCGAGCUUAACUUGGGAACUGCAUUUGAAACUGGCAAGCUAGAGUCUUGUAGAGGGGGGUAGAAUUCCAGGUGUAGCGGUGAAAUGCGUAGAGAUCUGGAGGAAUACCGGUGGCGAAGGCGGCCCCCUGGACAAAGACUGACGCUCAGGUGCGAAAGCGUGGGGAGCAAACAGGAUUAGAUACCCGUGUAGUCCCUGUCUCUUAUAC
rnacentral:rRNA from 1 species